AGCCUUCAGCAAACCUAAAACAAGUAUUGAAGGUGAUGCCUGCCCGGUGACCAGAAGGUUUAACGGCCGCGGUAUCCUAACCGUGCAAAGGUAGCGCAAUCAAUUGUCCCAUAAAUCGAGACUAGUAUGAAUGGCUAAACGAGGUCUUAACUGUCUCUUGCAGGCAAUCGGUGAAAUUGAUCUCCCUGUGCAAAAGCAGGGAUAAACCCAUAAGACGAGAAGACCCUGUGGAACUUCAAAACCAGCGGCCACCCCAAUAAGACAUAAACACCCACCGGGUUCACCAAAACAUUGGGAGACUGGCCCGCGUUUUUCGGUUGGGGCGACCUUGGAGAAAAACAAAUCCUCCAAAAAUUGGACCAUCCCUCUAGACCAAGAGCAACCCCUCGACGUGCUAAAAGCAACCAGACCCAAUAUAAUUGAUCAAUGGACCAAGCUACCCCAGGGAUAACAGCGCAAUCCCCUCCGAGAGUCCGUAUCGACGAGGGGGUUUACGACCUCGAUGUUGGAUCAGGACAUCCUAGUGGUGCAGCCGCUACUAAGGGUUCGUUUGUUCAACGAUUAACAGUCCU
rnacentral:rRNA from 1 species